rnacentral:rRNA from 1 species
CGCGUAGGUGGCCAAUUAAGUCAAAUGUGAAAUCCCCGAGCUUAACUUGGGAAUUGCAUUCGAUACUGGUUGGCUAGAGUAUGGGAGAGGAUGGUAGAAUUCCAGGUGUAGCGGUGAAAUGCGUAGAGAUCUGGAGGAAUACCGAUGGCGAAGGCAGCCAUCUGGCCUAAUACUGACACUGAGGUGCGAAAGCAUGGGGAGCAAACG